rnacentral:ncRNA from 1 species
AAAAAAAUUUUUAUAGUUUUAAUAUUUUAUUUUAAAAAUGAUUUACAUACAAAUUUUAGUGUUAAAUUUUGUUUAUUUUAAUAAUAAAAAAAUAUUAUAAGGUAGUAAUUAACUUUAAAUUAUUUAAGAAAUUAAGAUUUAAUGAUUUAGAAAUAAAUAACUAAUUUUGUGCCAGCAGUUGCGGUUAUACAAAAAUUUAAUUAAAAUUUUUCAGUAUAUAUUAAAUAAAUUUAAAUUUAAAUUAAAAAUUAAAUUAUUAAGUGAAAUUUUAAUUUAAUAAAAAUUUAAAAAAUUAUAUGAAUUAAUAAAUUUAUAUAAAAACUAGGAUUAGAUACCCUAUUAUUAAAAUAAAUAAAAUUUAUACUAAAAUAGUAAAUAAUGAUUUAUUGAAACUUAAAUAAUUUGGCGGUAUUUUAGUUCAUUUAGAGGAAUCUGUCUAAUAAUUGAUAAUCCACGAUUAAAUUUACUUAAUUUAAAAUUUUAUAUAUCGUUGUUAAAAAAAUAUUUUAAAAUAAAAAUAAUAUUUAAAAAUUAUAAUUAAAAAUUAGUUCAGAUCAAGAUGUAGAUUAUAAUUAAGAAUAUGAUGGAUUACAAUAAAUUUAUUUAAAUGAAUUUUUUUUUAUUUUAAAAUAUAAAUGAAAUUGGAUUUAAAUGUAAUUUUAUUUAAUAUAAUAAAAUGAUUUUAAAUUGAAAUAUGUACAUAUUGCCCGUCGCUUUCAUUUUAAAAUUGAAAUAAGUCGUAACAAAGUAGAAGUACUGGAAAGUGUUUCUAGAAU